AGCUAAGCCCUCUCAGUGACAGUGACAGUGACGGUACUAUUAUCCUUGACCUCCUAAUGGCAGAUGAUGAAAAGGAUGCCAGCGUACCUGUGCUCACAAGAACAGACAGUGUAAUUCUGAAGAAAGAAAUGCUUGGAUAUACAGUGGAAGACUCUCUAUCAAGCUCUGAUGUCAGCGAGGAUGGAGAGUAUGUCCCCGAAUCCGAUGGGACAGACAGUGACAGUCCAGCAGAA